UAUUCUAUAAAAAUUAUUUAAUUUAAUUAAGAAAUCCUUUAAAAAAAAAAACAAAAACAAAAAAAACCAUGUCGUUCUGCCAUCUGACGAAAGAAAAAAUAAACUUUCUUUCUCUAAUUCUUCUCGUCGUAUCACUGGUAGAUGGCGAAACGUGAUCUUUUUUUCAUGAAUUUGAAAAAAAUUUUUAACCUAACAAUCUCUACGAUCCAACGUUAACGAAAAAUAAAAAAAUUUUCAAUCUUAAAUAAUACAAAUUUCAUCAAAUAUAUGACAUUAACAAAACAUGCUAUUUAAUAUAUACACGUAUUAAUCAAUGUACACGUUGAUCUAAUGAAUAUAAUGUAAAUUUAAUCAGUAUAAUAACACUCGUACGUAUCGAUUCGUUCUGUUGCUAAGCUGAAUUAGAAAUAUUUCGAAGAUAUGUAAUUGACUCACAUUCGAGAUUCGAGAACGAUAAGAGCGUAAAAAUCGAGAAUAUAUCGAAACAUUCGUUACAUCGUUACGUAUCGUUUAGUAUUACGCACACAUGCACAGCACACACAACACACACAUGUAUAUAUAUAUACAUAUGUACAAGAUGUAUGCCUUCGAUAAUCCAAAAAAGUUAGCAUACGAUAAAUGAUAACGCGAUGAUGAACAAACUUCAAAAAGGGUGUAAUUAUCAUCAGAAUUCAAAGAAAGAAGUUAACCCCGUUUUAUUUGAAACAAGGAUCAAGAUAUAUGCGUGUAUAUAAAUAAAUAUAAAUAUAUAUAUAUAUAUAUUUCUCGUUCAUGAAGGUUCCUUCAUUAUCGACAUCGCGUACACUCUCAAAUACAUGAUCUAGAUAACGCGUGUGUGAUUUAUUUAAAUUUUUACGAUGUUCUUUUUUCAAUCAUUCUGAGAAGGUCAUUAUUUACAAAGUUAUUGAUACAGAUGGUUAAUCUUCUUGAAAGGAGAUGCGUACGUGCCUUAAAGGUGACUUGGUGAUGUAAAGAGUAAGAAAAAAGAAUGGAGGAAGAGAGAGAGAGAGACAGAGAGAGAGAGAGGCAAACAGUAGCUGCUGGUCGAGAGGCCGAUUCACGGCGCCAUUUUUUUGCGCCACCCGUUAUAAUUGCCGGGGCCUUGUCACUUUUGCCUUAGCUCGGGCCGCAUGGCCCCUACUACAUGCAGUAAUGUAUCUUACUUCUAGGUCGCCCUGUGGCUUGUGCCGGCUACCUCAAAGAGGUUUAAUUGUGAAAGAAAAAGAUGCCAACAGAAUGAGAAAGAGAGAGAGAGAAAGAAAGAAAUAAACAUGGCUGACACGCAUCAACGUUCGUUCUCUCUUCGUGACAUAUCGAAUCAAAUCACGGACUUUUUUUUUUCUUUUUCUUUUUUUUUGUUUUGUUUUCUUAACAAAAAUAUAUGAUAAAUAAUAAAAAUAAUAAAUAAAUUUGCAUGACAUCGAAA